GACGAACGCUGGCGGCGUGCUUAACACAUGCAAGUCGAACGGAAAGGCCCUGCUUUUGUGGGGUGCUCGAGUGGCGAACGGGUGAGUAACACGUGAGUAACCUGCCCUUGACUUUGGGAUAACUUCAGGAAACUGGGGCUAAUACCGGAUAGGAGCUCCUGCUGCAUGGUGGGGGUUGGAAAGUUUCGGCGGUUGGGGAUGGACUCGCGGCUUAUCAGCUUGUUGGUGGGGUAGUGGCUUACCGAGGCUUUGACGGGUAGCCGGCCUGAGAGGGUGACCGGCCACAUUGGGACUGAGAUACGGCCCAGACGCCUACGGGAGGCAGCAGUGGGGAAUAUUGCACAAUGGGCGGAGGCCGGAUGCAGCAACGCCGCGUGCGGGAUGACGGCCUUCGGGUUGUAAACCGCUUUCGCCUGUGACGAAGCGUGAGUGACGGUAAUGGGUAAAGAAGCACCGGCUAACUACGU
rnacentral:rRNA from 1 species